GGGUCUGAUUUUUCUUCCCUAGCCUUCCACAUAUCCCACCCCAAUUGUCCACAUCUCUUAUCUUCUUUGGCUGCCCCAAAAGUCCUCUCCUUAUCUCACCUUCUUGGCUGCACUAGACAGAAAGUCCAGCCCUCUUUCUCUAUUCCUUUUUCUUUGUUUUUGUUUUCUUCUCUCUUUGCUCUUACACGACAGCCUCCCUCUCUCACCAAAACAAAAUAUCCCUCUCUAAAGAAGAAAUUAAAGGGUUAACACUAAAAUUUCAGCUUCAAAGGUUGGGUGUUACCAGUUCCCUAGGUCUAAGCUCCUUCGACUAUAGGCUCUCGGUUCCUCUGCUUUCAAGUAAAGGAUAAGUUAUAUGAGCAUUUGGUUAUGUCCUCUGGUGAUCUGAACUCAGCUAGUAGGGGUUAAUUACUGGCUUUCCAUGGAAAAAUGUUAUAUGUUUGGCCAUUUAAAGUAGAGGAAAUGAGGCUGCCCGUAACUCUAGGCCAUUUAAAGUAGAGGAAAUGGGGUUGCCCGUAACUCUAAUCUGAACAAGGCCUUCUCCCCAAUGCAUACGGACGGCGGGGAAGAAUAAAACCUUGAGGAGAUGUGCCAUCAAGCCUCUCAAAGAGGACAAUAUCAUGCACACGAGGUCACCCAAAUGUGAUGAAGUCUUCUCUGUACAGACUUAUCAGAUAUGGACUAACCAAUAUAUUAUGAACAACUAUGUUAUGUUAUUAAUCAUAAGAGAAUUAUUUUGUUUAAAUGCAUUGUGAAAAGUAAAAACUCUUAUGGUAAGAAGAAGUUUCUGAUGAAAAAGAAAAGUUGCUCAUUAAAGAUAAAAGUUUCUGAAAUUCUGUUGUGCUAUAAAAAUAAAGCUUCUAAUGAAAGUACAAGUUUAUGUUUAAAAGUUAUUAGAUACUUGUUCUUUAUGAAACGUUAAGUUUUAUGACUAUGAAAGUUAUAAUAUUUUUCGGGAAAAGGUUUAUAAAGAAAGGUUCUCUUAUUGGGUCAAGAUGUUUCUAGUUUAAUACAAAGUUGCCGAUUAAUUGAUUUAAGUUAAAAUGAUUAUUUUGUAAUAAGAAUAUAGAUAUGGUGACUUUGUAGGAAAUGAAAGAAGUUUAAUCCGAAAGGUUUUGAUAAUACUAA